rnacentral:rRNA from 1 species
CAGUAGCCGCGGUAAAACGGAGGGUGCAAGCGUUAAUCGGAUUUACUGGGCGUAAAGCGUGCGUAGGCGGCUUCUUAAGUCGGAUGUGAAAUCCCUGAGCUUAACUUAGGAAUUGCAUUCGAUACUGGGAAGCUAGAGUAUGGGAGAGGAUGGUAGAAUUCCAGGUGUAGCGGUGAAAUGCGUAGAGAUCUGGAGGAAUACCGAUGGCGAAGGCAGCCAUCUGGCCUAAUACUGACGCUGAGGUACGAAAGCAUGGGGAGCAAACAGGAUUAGAUACCCCAGUAGUCCCUGUCUCUUAUAC